CUGGCUUUUCCUGGUCCAGUAAAAUACAGUUCUCUAAGGUUGUAGAGGUACUGCCUUGGUGAUCUUGGAUAUGAUCCAGAAGAAUUCUCUGGAUUACCAGAUUCAACUACAAAGAAAGAAUUAUGAACGGAAGCUCUACUACUUCAUAAAGAAGAAGAGGCCUUGAUUAAUAAAUAACCUGACACCCUUCAGAUGUUGCACAGGGAAAAACGGAGUGCCCCAAUUUCUGGGAGUCACUGUACUUCACUUACCCUGGGGCCUGUUUUACAGGCAUUUGCCUGCUUAGUUAAUUGUAGUUAUUCCCAAAAUAAACCCCAUUUUGUGUGGGACUCUUCUAUUCUGAGGGAAUGAUGUAAGCAAGAAUAUUGGCUGGAGUAUCUUGAAUAUCUGUGAUGGAUGGCUCCUCAGAAUGAAUCCUAAAUCUCCAAGGGACCCCUUUUAUCUUGUGAUUUUGCUCACAGGUUCUAAGCUGCUGCUGGGAAGGGUUCCAGUUCUAUAUUCUCUGUCUUCUGGAAGCACUGAUGAAAUCACUCAGCUGCUAUCCGCUUCCAUCUCUCACUAAGCACCUCUUGGCUCUCCUUCGUCCCCACAGACUGAAAGCAUGGAGGUGACUAAUGAGAUGUGUCUUCCCCUUCAAAUUGUUCACAAGUCCCACAUGACCUUUGGCAGGCAGGGGUUCUACCGUGGUGCUUCUGACUGUGGAUAAGGGGAAACUACGUGCUCACCACGGCUUGCUAUUUCUCCUUGCUCCCGUGACCAGUGCGGCAGCUCUGUUAAAUGGUCAGGCACGGUUUGUUGGUGGCUCCCAAACAAUCCAUCAGCAGUGGACGCAUUAUAGAAAACAUGGCUUUGAGUCUUAGCUUAAACUAUAUUUAUGUAGCGUGACAGUAGGAGAAAUAUCUAAUCGUGCUUGGAUUACAAUUCAAACAAAGGCCUCAUGACUGGCUUGCAGAUGCCGGGGUCCACACACCGUUUUCCAGAGAAGUCAAGAUGGGAGAGGGUGUGAUCUGUUCUGUCAUGAACAGUUCUGUUUCCAGACCAUUUCUCCAAGUCACUGAAGGCCCAUUUCUGGGGAAAUGAUUACUAAACUGAUGAUUAUUUUCUUUGUAUUGCUGGCUAUUCUCAACUUCAGGGAAAAUGUAAGGUAGCUGUGGAGUUUAAGGAAAAAAAAAUGUGUACACAAAAUGAGAAGCCACAUCUGCCUGUAGCACUAGCAAAAAUCAAAGAAGUCUGGCUUAUUUCAACACCAGCCACCUCAAAACCAAAUUAGUAUUUGAAUCAAAUUAAUGUAUUUGACUCAAUCACCUAAAAAAUAGCUGUUGGAUGAAAAAAUAAAAGAGAAAAUAGUGUCUAAUUAGUGACUGGCCAUUUUCAAAGUGGCUUCUCCUACAUUAUCUCAUUUUUUAAAAAGUAAAUUUGAUCUUUUUAAAUGUUAGAGUGAAGUGGUUCACAAUUGCUUGAAAUAAGCAAAGGACAUUAUAUUUAUAAGCAUGCAAAUUACAAACCAGGCAAAACAGUCUCUUCUGCUGCUUUAUAUAUUUUUGUCAACCAUCAUAGAUUCAUGGAAAGGUCUCAAAUAGAUAGAACAAAA
ensembl:lncRNA